rnacentral:rRNA from 1 species
UGAGGAAUAUUGGUCAAUGGGCGCAAGCCUGAACCAGCCAUGCCGCGUGCAGGAUGAAGCAUCUAUGGUGUGUAAACUGCUUUUGUACGGGAAGAAACCACUCCUCGUGAGGGGUAUUGACGGUACCGUAAGAAUAAGGAUCGGCUAACUCCGUGCCAGCAGCCGCGGUAAUACGGAGGAUCCAAGCGUUAUCCGGAAUCAUUGGGUUUAAAGGGUCCGUAGGCGGGUCUGUAAGUCAGUGGUGAAAUCUCCCCGCUCAACGGGGAAACUGCCAUUGAUACUGCAGGUCUUGAAUUAUUGGGAAGUAACUAGAAUAUGUAGUGUAGCGGUGAAAUGCUUAGAGAUUACAUGGAAUACCGAUUGCGAAGGCAGCCUCCUGGGCCAGUACUGACGCUCAUGCACGAAAGCGUGGGGAGCAAACA